GGAAGAGCAUGGUGGUUUUCCCUUGGAGCCCCCUGGCUUGGUACGUCUGAGAAGAUGCCUGCCAUGAGGCUCUUCACUUGCUUCCUGCAGCUUCUGGCUGGGCUGGCACUGCCGGCUGUGCCCCCCCAGCAGUGGGCCUUGUCUGCUGGGAACAGCUCAUCGGAGGUGGAAGUGGUGCCCUUCCAGGAGGUGUGGGGCCGCAGCUACUGCCGGGCGCUGGAGAGGCUGGUGGACAUCGUGUCUGUGUACCCCAGUGAGGUGGAGCACAUGUUCAGCCCGUCCUGCGUCUCCCUGCUGCGCUGCACCGGCUGCUGUGGCGACGAGAACCUGCACUGUGUGCCCGUGGAGACGGUCAAUGUCACCAUGCAGCUCCUGAAGAUCCGCUCUGGGGACCGGCCCUCCUACGUGGAGCUGACAUUCUCUCAGCACGUGCGCUGCGAGUGCAGACCUCUGCGGGAGAAGAUGAAGCCAGAAAGGAGGAGACCCAAGGGCAGGGGGAAGAGGAAGAGAGAGAAGCAGAGACACACAGACUGCCACCUGUGCGGUGAUACUGUUCCCCGGAGGUAACCAGCCCCUCGGAGGAGAGAGACGGAGACCCCACGCCCGGCUCGUGUAUUUAUUACCGUUACACUCUCAGUUACCUCCCUGCUGGCACCUGCCCUCUAUUUAUUAGCCAAGUGUAUCCCUGCUGAAUGACUCACUCCCUUCAAGAUGAGGGGCAGGAAGGGACAGGACCCUCAGGAAUUCAGUGCCUUAAACAGAACGUGAGAGAAAGAAAGAAGACAGAUCCACGCGUGCGUCAUCUGGGGAAGAAGCAAGACUUGUGGCUUUGUGAGGGGCGUGUCACACCCCAGAGGCCUGAGGGUCUCCAGGGUGCUGGAGAGGGAGGGACGGGGGGGACAUGCCACCUGUCCCCAGGGCCUUGGGCUCUGCCGGGACCAGCAGCCCUUGCCUGGGGAGCUCCCUGCCGGGAUGAGGGUGGAGGAGCCUUCUCUGGCCGCCGUGGCCCCUGCCAGGAGGGCGGGCAAGCAGCAGCCCCGCGCCCUGGAGACAGGAUGUUCAGCUCUGGAGACCAGUGGUUGCCUGGGGGCCUUUGCCACUCCUUGUCCCCUAGGUCUCGCCUCAUAUCUUACCACCGCUUGUGCUGGGACAUUGCUCUUUAUGCCAAGGCAUCCCCACCUGCCCCUCUCGGGGACGCAGGCAGAGAGGGCCCAGGCUGGUCAUGGAGCAAGCUGUCCCCGCGAGGCCGUCUGACCGCCAAGCCAGAUUCUCUUGAAUAAAGUACUCUAGUCUGGAAGCGGCUUUCCAGGGGAGUGAGUGUGACCACGAGAGCAGAGGGCAACAGCGGGAAUGGGAGCAGUACGGGACAAAAAGGAACCGUGGGCCGCAAGGCUGCCCAUGGCCCGGCUCCAGCCUGCCCCUGCCCUUCCCUGGCCUUCUUCUUCCAGCUGCUUUAGGCACCACCCUGAGGCCCAUGCCUCCCAGAAAGAGGGUUUCCUAAGAUGGAGCCUUGGCCCCAAACUUGGGGGCACCUGACCCCGGUCAACCCCAAACACUCUCAAAUUCAAGAACAUGGUCCCGGAGUUCCCGUUGUGGCACCGCGGAAACAAAUCCGACUAGGAACCAUGAGGUUGCGGGUUCGAUCCCUGGCCUUGCUCAGUGGGUUGCGGAUCCAGCGUUGCUGUGAGCUGUGGUGUAGGUCGCAGACGCAGCUCGGAUCCCAAGUUGCUGAGGCUGUGGUGUAGGCCAGCCCCUGCAGCUCUGCUUUGACCCCUAGCCUGGAAACCUCCCUAUGCUGUGGUAUGGCCCUAAAAAG
ensembl:lncRNA